GCGGAUGUAGCCAAGUGGAUCAAGGCAGUGGAUUGUGAAUCUACCAUGCGCGGGUUCAAUUCCCGUCGUUCGCC
rnacentral:tRNA from 3 species